GUGCAGCCGCCGCGGUAAUACCGGCAGCACGAGUGAUGGCCGAUCUUAUUGGGCCUAAAGCGUCCGUAGCCGGCCGGACAAGUCCGUUGGGAAAUCCACGUGCCUAACACGUGGGCGUCCAGCGGAAACUGUCCGGCUUGGGGCCGGAAGACCCGAGGGGUACGUCCGGGGUAGGAGUGAAAUCCCGUAAUCCUGGACGGACCGCCGGUGGCGAAAGCGCCUCGGGAGGACGGACCCGACGGUGAGGGACGAAGGCCAGGGUCUCGAACCGGAUUAGAAACCCGUGUCUCC
rnacentral:rRNA from 1 species